AUUACGCCGUUAACGGAUGUGCACUUCUAUAUAUUAACACAAGAACUGUUGCACACCCGUUACAUUGGUGCCGUGACCUUUCAAGGAUUGGUUUAAAGGACGACAUCACCUCGUUCGCCGAGGAAGCUGCUGCCACUGGCCCUUUGUGGUACUGAGCUUUAAGAGAAGUCCGUGUUUUGUGACGUGGGUGUGGCGCCAAAGCUCAGAAGGCUUUUUACUGUCUGAGCGGAGGAGGGAAUGUUGGUCCCGACUACGACCGUUUAUACUAUUGACACGUUGGUUUCUUUGGCUCAUACAGAAGCGAAUAAAUGAGAGAAAGCCAGCCUC